CUACGGGUGGCUCCAGUGGGGAAUAUUGCACAAUGGAGGAAACUCUGAUGCAGCAACGCCGCGUGGAGGAUGACACUUUUCGGAGCGUAAACUCCUUUUAUAUAGGAAGAAGAUGACGGUACUAUAUGAAUAAGCGCCGGCUAACUCCGUGCCAGCAGCCGCGGUAAUAAGGAGGGCGCAAGCGUUACUCGGAAUCACUGGGCGUAACGAGCGUGUAGGCGGAUUAAAAAGUCAGAAGUGAAAUCCUAUAGCUUAACUAUAGAACUGCUUCUGAAACUCUUAAUCUAGAAUAUGGGAGAGGUAGAUGGAAUUUCUGGUGUAGGGGUAAAACCCGUAGAGAUCAGAAGGAAUACCGAUUGCGAAGGCGAUCUACUAGAACAUUAUUGACGCUGAGACGCGAAAGCGUGGGGAGCAAACAGGAUUAGAUACCCCUGUAGUC
rnacentral:rRNA from 1 species